rnacentral:snRNA from 1 species
GUGCUCGCUUCGGCAUCACAUAUACUAAAAUGGGAACGAUACAGAGAUUAACAAGGCCCCUGCGCAAGGAUGACAUGCAAAUUUGUGAAGCGUUCCGUAUUUUU